rnacentral:rRNA from 1 species
GUGGUCAAGCUAAUAAGGGCUCAUGGUGGAUACCUAGGCACACAGAGGCGAAGAAGGACGUGGUUACCUGCGAAAAGUUCCGGGGAGUUGGAAGCAAACAGAGAGCCGGAAAUAUCCGAAUGGGGCAACCCUGAAAACUGUCUGUUGAAUAUAUAGACAGGAAAGAGCGAACCUGGCGAAUUGAAACAUCUUAGUAGCCAGAGGAAAAGAAAUCAAAAGAGAUUCCCCGAGUAGUGGUGAGCGAAAGGGGAAGAGCCUAAACCAAGGGGUAUACCUCUUGGGGUAGUGGGACAGCAACAUCGAAUCCAGAGACUAGACGAAGCAGCUAAAUACUGCACCAGAGGGGGUGAAAGUCCUGUAGUCGAAAGUUAAAGGAUAGAAGCUGAAUCCCGAGUAGUACGGGGCACGAGAAAUCCCGUAUGAAUCAGCGAGGACCAUCUCGUAAGGCUAAAUACUACUGUGUGACCGAUAGAGAACAAGUACCGCGAGGGAAAGGUGAAAAGAACCCCGGGAGGGGAGUGAAAAAGAACAUGA